GACGAACGCUGGCGGCGUGCUUAACACAUGCAAGUCGAACGCUGAAGCUUGGUGCUUGCACUGGGUGGAUGAGUGGCGAACGGGUGAGUAAUAAGUGAGUAACCUGCCCUUGACUCUGGGAUAAGCCUGGGAAACUGGGUCUAAUACUGGAUACGACAUGUCACCGCAUGGUGGUGUGUGGAAAGGGUUUUACUGGUUUUGGAUGGGCUCGCGGCCUAUCAGCUUGUUGGUGGGGUAAUGGCUCACCAAGGCGACGACGGGUAGCCGGCCUGAGAGGGUAACCGGCCACACUGGGACUGAGACACGGCCCAGACUCCUACGGGAGGCAGCAGUGGGGAAUAUUGCACAAUGGGCGGAAGCCUGAUGCAGCGACGCCGCGUGAGGGAUGACGGCCUUCGGGUUGUAAACCUCUUUCAGCACGGAAGAAGCGAAAGUGACGGUACGUGCAGAAGAAGCGCCGGCUAACUACGUG
rnacentral:rRNA from 1 species